GAGGGUGUGAGUGCGAGGGGACGCCUCUGCACGCGGGGGCGCAGUGGGCAAAGUUACGCAAAGCCUCGGGGCACCGUUACACUCCCGAGCUUCUGCAGGGUUUCAAGCACUGCUUCUCGCACGCGGGGAGUCCCUUUAGGCUGGACGGCCGCCUGCUGCCUUCGCGGCCCCAGCCACCUCCCCCGCGGCCCGGUCCCUCCCGGUGUGCCUUGUGUACCUCCGCCCGCGUGUCGGGGGACGCGUGUGUUUGCCGAGCCUCUCCCUGAGGGCGACUCCGGCCGCCGAAACCCACCUUUCCUACAGAAACUGCCCAUCAGACCAAUGAAACCGCGGGACACAAAGUUCUAUUCAAGAAGAGAACAACAAGAAAGAAAAAAAGGUCAACAAUCCUAGGACAGAAGAGCUCCUUGGCACUGGAACCCUCCUGGUCUGGUGAGGGAGGGAUGAGGGAUGCUCUGAGGACACACAGCCAUCAUCCAAAACUUCCUGCAUUCGGAUGGAGGAAAGAGGUUGCACCAGAGCUUCGGAUCCACGUUGCCUAAGGGAUGAUUCAGACUGUGUGAAUGAGUCACACAAGGGUCUCAUGGGAACAGAAAGUUUUGAGAGAGUUUACUAUUUGUGCAAGAUGACUGGUUGGGUAAAGAAGGCCAAAGUUUAUUAUCUGCAGAACAAAUAAAGCCCGGGCAAAGAGACACAGCGAGAGAGGGAACACAAGCAGGGGGAGCGUGAGAGG